rnacentral:lncRNA from 1 species
GUUAAGAAGUAUUUUAACAUAUUCAAUAACAGUUUAAUUCCUUCAGAUAUUCAUCAGUCAUGUGUUUUUUACUCUGUCCAGUUAGGGCAAUAUAAAUACCAUUUUGUGAGGAUGUCAAAUUUUUCUUUUUUCUGGCAAAACAAGAAAGCAUAAGACAGAUGGGUUAAGAAGAAAGUCAGACACAGUAUCAGUUGCCAAAGGGGGGAAAACAAGUAAAGACAACAUCUUGUCCAUCAAGGAACUCAGAUAAAGGCUCUUUCUUCUCUCAAAUGAUGACAGCUCCAGAGCUGUGAGCAACGAGAAAAUAAAUAAGCACAACCACCAAAAGUGUUUCUCCCUGGUUUCCACUGUAAUAUCUGGAAUAGACAAACAUGUCAUUUUACUGGGAAGAUUACCUGAAAAAAAGUAACCAAAAUAGAAAAGGAAGAAAGAAGAAAACUGAAUAGGGUCUAUUACAUCUGGGUAGACGGUUAUCAUGCUUUUCUAGAUGCAGCUGAUGAAAACAUCCAGGAAGAAUAAUCCACAUCCCUUUCAACAAUAUAAAGGGAUCCAAAGCACCGAUGUGUGAUUCUGACACGAGAAGCUUCAGGACAACUGACAUAGUUGCUCUCAGUUGAAAACGGACACUAGUUGGUACUCUGAGUUUAUUUUUCUCAAAUGGAAGUUUGCUCACAAGAUGUGGUAAGAUUGAGUUUGUAUGCUCUUAAAUGGCCUUUUUACAGGCAGGAAGAUCUUGUUUGUCAGGCCUCAGGAAACUGUUGAUAGAAUGAAGGAGGUUAAAAUUGUUACUGGAUCUACUAAACCUGUGAGCCAUCCAUCACCCAUUUACGACGGUAUCCCGAAUGGAAGAGAGAUGAGGGUGAGCACAUUUAAUGAGGUGUGAGCUUUGAAUGGACAGAAAAACACAAUUCUGAAGGUUUUGAGAUCAACUUCUUGAAUUAACACAAUGGAAGAUAUUUUAUUGUGGCUAUAAAUUAUCUUUUAAAAAUUCUUUACAUUACUUAGACUUUAGGAAAAGAAUAGAAAGUAGAUUCGAAAAUACUAAGAAAAUUUGCUAAUUGCCCAGGUUCUUUUCCUAAUUUUUAUAGGGUGUGUUUAAGCAUAAUAGCAUGUUGCAGUCUAUUUGGAAUAGAAUCAGGCUGAGUUUUGGUAUCAAAUAUGUUUCAAACUAGCUGGGUAUUUAGGAAAGUCACUUAAUCUUCUUAUGCCCCAGAUGUCUCAUCUGUCACAGGUGAUAAUAAUUUCUGGCAAACAUGCUUUACAUCAUUUUGUAAGUAUAGCAUAAAAUGAUAAAUGUAAAAACAUUUAAGGGAAAAGCAUUUCCCAAAGCAAAGGUGCCAUUCUUAUUAAAAAAUGAGAACGUCU